CCUACGGGAGGCAGCAGUGAGGAAUAUUGGUCAAUGGGCGCAGGCCUGAACCAGCCAAGCCGCGUGAGGGAAGACUGCCCUAUGGGUUGUAACCUUCUUUUAUAGGGGAAGAAUAAUGACUAGGUGUACUCCGCUGCACGUACCUUCUGAAUAAGCAUCGGUUAACUCCGUGCCAGAAGCCGCGGUAAUCCGGGGGAUGCGAGCGUUUUCCGGAUUUAUUGGGUUUAAGGGGUGCGUAGGCGGUAUUUUAAGUGAGUGGUAAAACGUCGGGGCUUCAGCGUGAUUGGCCAUUGAAACUGGAGUACUGGAGUGCGGACGAGGUAGGAGGAAUAAGUUAAGUAGCGGUGAAAUGCUUAGAUAUAACAUAGAACCCCGAUAGCGAAGGCAGCUUACCAGACCGUGACUGACGCUGAAGCACGAGAGCGUGGGUAGCAAACAGGAUUAGAUACCCGAGUAGUC
rnacentral:rRNA from 1 species